rnacentral:misc_RNA from 1 species
GUUGAAGAACGUAGCGAAAUGCGAUAAGUAAUGUGAAUUGCAGAAUUCAGUGAAUCAUCGAAUCUUUGAACGCACCUUGCGCCCUUUGGCCAUUCCGAAGGGCAUGCCUGUUUGAGUAUCAUGAACACCUCAACUCUUUAUGGUUUUCCAUGAUGAGCUUGGACUCUGGGGGUUUUGCUGGCUCACAGUCGGCUCCUCUAAAAUGAAUCAGCUUACCAGUGUUUGGUGGGUAUCAUGGGUGUGAUAACUAUCUACGCUUGUGGUUUUUCCACCAGGUAACCUUCAGCAGUGGAGGUUCGCUGGAGCUCAUAGAUGUUUCUCCUCAGUGAGGACAGCCCUUUGAAUGUUUGAUCUCAAAUCAGGUAGGACUACCCGCUGAACUUAAGCAUAUCAAUAAGCGGAGGA